AGGAUAAACGCUGGCGGCGUGCCUUAUGCAUGCAAGUCGAACGUGAAGCCGACUUCGGUUGGUGGAAAGUGGCGAACGGGUGAGUAACACGUAGGAACCUGCCCGGAAGUGGGGGAUAACUCCGCGAAAGCGGGGCUAAUACCGCAUGUGGUCGAAAGAUUAAAGCUUCGGCGCUUCCGGAGGGGCCUGCGGCGGAUUAGCUAGUUGGUGGGGUAACGGCCUACCAAGGCGACGAUCCGUAGCU
rnacentral:rRNA from 1 species